AAAAAGGGUUAGCAGAAGUGAGUGUCGUGUCACGUCUGAGAAGCUGUUCUAUAAAAUUUCUUUAAGAGAACUAACUUAGAUCGGAGCUUUAGUCGGAUAAAGAACAGCACUGUUUUGGGUCGAUUGGUUCCUGAGAAGCUUUUACCUGUUGCUGGAGUGAGGCAGCAACUUUAUGCUAGCUGCAAGCUCAGUGUGCUCAGUGUCGGCUGCUGUGUGUGUUCGUGGUGUGGAGCUUUGUUUUGAGAAGAUUUGAAUUUGAGUUUACCCUGACAUAUAAACGACAUCUCAGCUGAUUCGUCUCAAGAGUGAUUCGUUUAUUAUUCACUCCUAUGUGAUUCAUUUGAUUGAUUCAUCGGGAUACUGCUACUGAAAGAGGCAAUUAAAGUGGCUUAGUGGUUAGCACGUUCGCCUCACACCUCCAGGGUUGGGGGUUCUAUUCCCGCCUCCGCCUUGUGUGUGUGGAGUUUGCAUGUUCUCCCCGUGCCUCGGGGGUUUCCUCCCCGGUACUCUGGUUCCCUCCCCUGGUCCAAAGACAUGCAUGGUAGGUUGAUUGGCAUCUCUGGAAAAUUGUCCCUAGUGUGUGAUUGUGUGAGUGAAUGAGAGUGUGUGUGUGUGUGUGUGCCCUGUGAUGGGUUGGCGCUCCGUCCAGGGUGUAUUCUGCCUUGAUGCCCGAUGACGCCUGAGAUAGGCACAGGCUCCCCGUGACCUGAGGUAGUCGGAUAAGCGGUAGAAAAUGAGUGAGUGAGUUAAUUGCAACGCACGCUACGUGAAGACAACGUAUUUCCACCCAUCAUUCUACAGACUGGUAUUUCCUAUUUGGGAUAUCGUGGUUUGAUGGACGUCUGUAGGGCCACUCACCCAUAAGGUAGGAAACAACAUACAAAAUCUAUCGAGUACAGAGACUAAAAGCACUGGGGGCGGGGACAAAGAUCCUUUCGUUACUCAGUCUUCCAGGGCAGCACAAAUUUAUUCCCUUACUAUACGAGAAUAAUUGUUCCCGUUACAUAUGCUCAUCUUGUAUGACUCGCACCUUUCUUUUUUUAGAAGGCGCAGACUCUCCACAACCUCCGUCUCCGUCUUCCUCUCGAGUUGCGGAUGAUGCAUGCUCCCCAUCAGUUACCUCCUUUGUCACUGUCACAUUGCUUUGGUGCUGUUCAUUUUGUGCGCGGGAUUGUUUGAUAAGAAAUCGAUCCAUUUUUUUAGUCCGUGUGUGUUCAGUAAACACAAGUUGUUAACUGGCAUGAAACACAAACUAGCUUCUGGCAGGCCGCCAAAAACUGGCUAUUGCGCAGAACGCAGUGAGUCAGUGACGGGAGUCAAAUAAUAUAUGUAAAUUAUAAAUUAUUAUUUGUAAUAGAGCACAUUCGUUUUUCUAUGCUUCCCUUGUUGUUUUUAAUGUUAUUUAAAUGAAAAAUAAAUUUUAACCACAUGA